rfam:Mustela putorius furo unplaced genomic scaffold scaffold00178, whole genome shotgun sequence.
GAUUAAUGAUGAAAAUAGCCAAAUCUGAGCAUCAGAAGACCUUCCAGUCUCAAUAGUUCUGAGA